UACGUAGGUGGCAAGCGUUGUCCGGAAUUAUUGGGCGUAAAGCGCGCGCAGGCGGAUAGGUCAGUCUGUCUUAAAAGUUCGGGGCUUAACCCCGUGAUGGGAUGGAAACUGCCAAUCUAGAGUAUCGGAGAGGAAAGUGGAAUUCCUAGUGUAGCGGUGAAAUGCGUAGAUAUUAGGAAGAACACCAGUGGCGAAGGCGGCUUUCUGGACGAAAACUGACGCUGAGGCGCGAAAGCGAGGGGAGCGAACGGG
rnacentral:rRNA from 1 species